CGGGGGGGCGGCAGCUUACCAUGCAGUCGAGCGGAAACGAUACCAGCUUGCUGGUAGGCGUCGAGCGGCGGACGGGUGAGUAAUACUUAGGAAUCUACCUAGUAGUGGGGGAUAGCUCGGGGAAACUCGAAUUAAUACCGCAUACGACCUACGGGAGAAAGGGGGCAGUUUACUGCUCUCGCUAUUAGAUGAGCCUAAGUCGGAUUAGCUAGAUGGUGGGGUAAAGGCCUACCAUGGCGACGAUCUGUAGCUGGUCUGAGAGGAUGAUCAGCCACACCGGGACUGAGACACGGCCCGGACUCCUACGGGAGGCAGCAGUGGGGAAUAUUGGACAAUGGGGGAAACCCUGAUCCAGCCAUGCCGCGUGUGUGAAGAAGGCCUUUUGGUUGUAAAGCACUUUAAGCAGUGAAGAAGACUCCUCGGUUAAUACCCGUGGACGAAGACAUUAGCUGCAGAAUAAGCACCGGCUAACUCUGUGCCAGCAGCCGCGGUAAUACAGAGGGUGCAAGCGUUAAUCGGAAUUACUGGGCGUAAAGCGAGCGUAGGUGGCUUGAUAAGUCAGAUGUGAAAUCCCCGGGCUUAACCUGGGAACUGCAUCUGAAACUGUUAGGCUAGAGUAGGUGAGAGUAAGGUAGAAUUCCAGGUGUAGCGGUGAAAUGCGUAGAGAUCUGGAGGAAUACCGAUGGCGAAGGCAGCCUUCUGGCAUCAUACUGACACUGAGGCUCGAAAGCGUGGGUAGCAAACAGGAUCAGAUGCCCUGAUAGUCCACGCCGUAAACGAUGUCUACUAGUCGUUGGGUCCCUUGAGGACUUAGUGACGCAGCUAACGCAAUAAGUAGACCGCCUGGGGAGUACGGCCGCAAGGUUAAAACUCAAAUGAAUUUGACGGGGGCCCGCACAAGCGGUGGAGCAUGUGGUUUAUUCGAUGCAACGCGAGACCUUACCUGGUCUUGACAUAUCUAGAAUCCUGCAGAGAUGCGGGGGGUGCCUUCGGGAAUUAGAAAUACAGGUGCUGCAUG
rnacentral:rRNA from 1 species